GACGAACGCUGGCGGCGUGCUUAACACAUGCAAGUCGAACGGAAAGGCCCUGCUUUUGUGGGGUGCUCGAGUGGCGAACGGGUGAGUAACACGUGAGUAACCUGCCCUUGACUUUGGGAUAACUUCAGGAAACUGGGGCUAAUACCGGAUAGGAGCUCCUGCUGCAUGGUGGGGGUUGGAAAGUUUCGGCGGUUGGGGAUGGACUCGCGGCUUAUCAGCUUGUUGGUGGGGUAGUGGCUUACCAAGGCUUUGGCGGGUAGGCGGCCUGAGAGGGUGACCGGCCACAUUGGUACUGAGAUACGGCCCAGACUCCUACGGGAGGCAGCAGUGGGGAAUAUUGCACAAUGGGCGGAAGCCUGAUGCAGCAACGCCGCGUGCGGGAUGACGGCCUUCGGGUUGUAAACCGCUUUCGCCUGUGACGAAGCGUGAGUGACGGUAAUGGGUAAAGAAGCACCGGCUAACUACGUG
rnacentral:rRNA from 1 species